AGUCGACGGCAGCGCGGGGCAACCUGGCGGCGAGUGGCGAACGGGUGAGUAAUACAUCGGAACGUGCCCUGUGAUGGGGGAUAACUACGCGAAAGCGUAGCUAAUACCGCAUACGACCUAAGGGUGAAAGUGGGGGAUCGCAAGACCUCACGUCAUAGGAGCGGCCGAUGGCGGAUUAGCUAGUUGGUGGGGUAAAGGCCUACCAAGGCGACGAUCCGUAGCUGGUCUGAGAGGACGACCAGCCACACUGGGACUGAGACACGGCCCAGACUCCUACGGGAGGCAGCAGUGGGGAAUCUUGGACAAUGGGGGCAACCCUGAUCCAGCAAUGCCGCGUGUGGGAUGAAGGCCUUCGGGUUGUAAACCACUUUUGGCGGGGGCGAAAUAUCGAGUGCUAAUACCAUUCGGUGAUGACGGUACCCGCAGAAUAAGCACCGGCUAACUACGUGCCAGCAGCCGCGGGUAAUACAAA
rnacentral:rRNA from 1 species